rnacentral:rRNA from 1 species
GAGUGGCGGACGGGUGAGUAACGCGUGGGUAACCUGCCCUGUACAGGGGGAUAACAGCUGGAAACGGCUGCUAAUACCGCAUAAGCGCACGAGGAGACAUCUCCUUGUGUGAAAAACUCCGGUGGUACAGGAUGGGCCCGCGUCUGAUUAGCUGGUUGGCAGGGUAACGGCCUACCAAGGCAACGAUCAGUAGCCGGUCUGAGAGGAUGAACGGCCACAUUGGAACUGAGACACGGUCCAAACUCCUACGGGAGGCAGCAGUGGGGAAUAUUGCACAAUGGGGGAAACCCUGAUGCAGCGACGCCGCGUGGAGGAAGAAGGUCUUCGGAUUGUAAACUCCUGUUGUUGAGGAAGAUAAUGACGGUACUCAACAAGGAAGUGACGGCUAACUACGUGCCAGCAGCCGCGGUAAAACGUAGGUCACAAGCGUUGUCCGGAAUUACUGGGUGUAAAGGGAGCGCAGGCGGGAAGACAAGUUGGAAGUGAAAUCCAUGGGCUCAACCCAUGAACUGCUUUCAAAACUGUUUUUCUUGAGUAGUGCAGAGGUAGGCGGAAUUCCCGGUGUAGCGGUGGAAUGCGUAGAUAUCGGGAGGAACACCAGUGGCGAAGGCGGCCUACUGGGCACCAACUGACGCUGAGGCUCGAAAGUGUGGGUAGCAAACAGGAUUAGAUACCCUGGUAGUCCACACUGUAAACGAUGAUUACUAGGUGUUGGAGGAUUGACCCCUUCAGUGCCGCAGUUAACACAAUAAGUAAUCCACCUGGGGAGUACGACCGCAAGGUUGAAACUCAAAGGAAUUGACGGGGGCCCGCACAAGCAGUGGAGUAUGUGGUUUAAUUCGACGCAACGCGAAGAACCUUACCAAGUCUUGACAUCCUGCGACGCACAUAGAAAUAUGUGUUUCCUUCGGGACGCAGAGACAGGUGGUGCAUGGUUGUCGUCAGCUCGUGUCGUGAGAUGUUGGGUUAAGUCCCGCAACGAGCGCAACCCUUAUGGUCAGUUACUACGCAAGAGGACUCUGGCCAGACUGCCGUUGACAAAACGGAGGAAGGUGGGGAUGACGUCAAAUCAUCAUGCCCUUUAUGACUUGGGCUACACACGUACUACAAUGGCGUUAAACAAAGAGAAGCAAGACCGCGAGGUGGAGCAAAACUCAGAAACAACGUCCCAGUUCGGACUGCAGGCUGCAACUCGCCUGCACGAAGUCGGAAUUGCUAGUAAUCGCAGAUCAGCAUGCUGCGGUGAAUACGAUCCCGGGCCUUGCACACACCGCCCGUCA